AAGUUUAGGUUAAAUUAAACCAAAGGCCUUCAAAGCCUAAAAUAAGCCAGCACAGCCCUUAACUUCU
rnacentral:tRNA from 1 species